GCCAUCAUUUAAAGAAAGCGUAAUAGCUCACUGGUCGAGUCGGCCUGCGCGGAAGAUGUAACGGGGCUAAACCAUGCACCGAAGCUGCGGCAGCGACGCUGAUGCGUUGUUGGGUAGGGGAGCGUUCUGUAAGCCUGCGAAGGUGGCCUGUGAGGGUUGCUGGAGGUAUCAGAAGUGCGAAUGCUGACAUAAGUAACGAUAAAGCGGGUGAAAAGCCCGCUCGCCGGAAGACCAAGGGUUCCUGUCCAACGUUAAUCGGGGCAGGGUGAGUCGACCCCUAAGGCGAGGCCGAAAGGCGUAGUCGAUGGGAAACGGGUUAAUAUUCCCGUACUUGGUGUUACUGCGAAGGGGGGACGGAGAAGGCUAUGUUGGCCGGGCGACGGUUGUCCCGGUUUAAGCGUGUAGGUGUGUGUUCCAGGUAAAUCCGGUUCACUUUAACACUGAGGCGUGACGACGAGGCACUACGGUGCUGAAGCAACAAAUGCCCUGCUUCCAGGAAAAGCCUCUAAGCAUCAGGUAACAUCAAAUCGUACCCCAAACCGACACAGGUGGUCAGGUAGAGAAUACCAAGGCGCUUGAGAGAACUCGGGUGAAGGAACUAGGCAAAAUGGUGCCGUAACUUCGGGAGAAGGCACGCUGACACGUAGGUGAAGUGAUUUACUCAUGGAGCUGAAGUCAGUCGAAGAUACCAGCUGGCUGCAACUGUUUAUUAAAAACACAGCACUGUGCAAACACGAAAGUGGACGUAUACGGUGUGACGCCUGCCCGGUGCCGGAAGGUUAAUUGAUGGGGUCAGCGCAAGCGAAGCUCCUGAUCGAAGCCCCGGUAAACGGCGGCCGUAACUAUAACGGUCCUAAGGUAGCGAAAUUCCUUGUCGGGUAAGUUCCGACCUGCACGAAUGGCGUAAUGAUGGCCAGGCUGUCUCCACCCGAGACUCAGUGAAAUUGAACUCGCUGUGAAGAUGCAGUGUACCCGCGGCAAGACGGAAAGACCCCGUGAACCUUUACUAUAGCUUGACACUGAACAUUGAGCCUUGAUGUGUAGGAUAGGUGGGAGGCUUUGAAGUGUGGACGCCAGUCUGCAUGGAGCCGACCUUGAAAUACCACCCUUUAAUGUUUGAUGUUCUAACGUGGACCCGUGAUCCGGGUUGCGGACAGUGUCUGGUGGGUAGUUUGACUGGGGCGGUCUCCUCCUAAAGAGUAACGGAGGAGCACGAAGGUUGGCUAAUCCUGGUCGGACAUCAGGAGGUUAGUGCAAUGGCAUAAGCCAGCUUGACUGCGAGCGUGACGGCGCGAGCAGGUGCGAAAGCAGGUCAUAGUGAUCCGGUGGUUCUGAAUGGAAGGGCCAUCGCUCAACGGAUAAAAGGUACUCCGGGGAUAACAGGCUGAUACCGCCCAAGAGUUCAUAUCGACGGCGGUGUUUGGCACCUCGAUGUCGGCUCAUCACAUCCUGGGGCUGAAGUAGGUCCCAAGGGUAUGGCUGUUCGCCAUUUAAAGUGGUACGCGAGCUGGGUUUAGAACGUCGUGAGACAGUUCGGUCCCUAUCUGCCGUGGGCGCUGGAGAACUGAGGGGGGCUGCUCCUAGUACGAGAGGACCGGAGUGGACGCAUCACUGGUGUUCGGGUUGUCAUGCCAAUGGCACUGCCCGGUAGCUAAAUGCGGAAGAGAUAAGUGCUGAAAGCAUCUAAGCACGAAACUUGCCCCGAG
rnacentral:rRNA from 1 species